AUAAGAUAAAAGGCCUCCGGGCCCUUCAUCCUCAAACCUGUGGAAGCGAGAUGUGUUUCGGCGCCUCUGUGCGUCGGAUCUAUGCUGUUUAGCUUGUGUCUGACUAAAAAAACAUUUA
rnacentral:misc_RNA from 1 species